rnacentral:rRNA from 1 species
UACGUAGGGUGCAAGCGUUAAUCGGAAUUACUGGGCGUAAAGCGUGCGCAGGCGGUUAUUUAAGUCAGGUGUGAAAGCUCUGGGCUUAACCUAGGAAUUGCGCUUGAGACUGGAUAGCUUGGAGUGCGGCAGAGGGAGGUGGAAUUCCACGUGUAGCAGUGAAAUGCGCAGAUAUCAGGAGGAACACCAAUGGCGAAGGCAGCUCGCUGGGACGGUACUGACGCUGAGGCGCGAAAGCGUGGGGAGCAAACAGG